rnacentral:rRNA from 1 species
UACGUAGGGGGCUAGCGUUGUCCGGAUUUAUUGGGCGUAAAGAGCGUGUAGGCGGCCAGGUAGGUCUGCUGUGAAAACUCGAGGCUCAACCUCGAGACGUCGGCGGAAACCAUCUGGCUAGAGUCCGGAAGAGGAGAGUGGAAUUCCUGAUGUAGCGGUGAAAUGCGCAGAUAUCAGGAAGAACACCCGUGGCGAAGGCGGCUCUCUGGGACGGUACUGAGCUGAAGGCGCGAAAGCGUGGGGAGCAAACAGG